rnacentral:lncRNA from 1 species
UACUCAGCAGGCGAAUCUCAGAGUCUCCAUAAGAACAUAAGUAAAGAAACACUGGUGACUAGGAAAAUAUAAGGACAAACUCACUAAAGAAAAGGCAAUUCAAUCAACACUGGUGACUGCAUUCAUUAAUAGCAAUGUUCAUGGAGUAAACAACGCUGUUCUCUAAGAUUGUACUUUCACUCACCAAGAUCCUGGCGUCCACCUCUCUCUCACUGGAAAUGGCACUUUGGCAAUGGGAUUCACCUCAUAGAUCACCAAAGCUAACAAAUUACAAAGAGAGGAGAUAUCGACUUCUCGUGUUUCAUUUGUCAUAGGAGUACUGAAAUAUGUCAUGGAAUAAUCUUUGACUCAUGAUGAAAACUGCUAGUGAAAUAGCACAUAUUCCGAUUCUCCAACAUUCAAUCCAGUUCUAGCAACAAAGCCUAAUCUAAAAACUAAUAAUAUUUGUAAUGAGUGGACUCAGUAGCUAGAAUAAAUUACUAGUUUCAUCUUUGUGUUACAGUAAUGCUAGAGCUCCAAUAUCAACUUUUUGUCUGAAUACAUACAAAAUGAAUCGCUUUAUGGAUGAUCCUUCUAGAAGAAGGUGAUUCUAACAAUUUCUAUGAAAAAUAUGAAUCCGAGUUUGAAGAAGGGAAGGGAGAAGGAGCCCUUGAACCUAGAGGAAGAUUUAUUCAAUCACAUAGUUUUGGCUUCAAGAAUAUGGCGCUCUUGGAGGACUUCUGUGGGAUCCCUGGUCUCAUUCUAUAUGGGACCAGCAAGUCCUCUUCCAACCUGUGGUACUUGUCAUCAAAGUUUCAUUGUAAAAUACUUCCAUAUUUUUGUUGUCCAGAGUAUGUUCGUUGUAUUUCUUCAUCUCGAACAAAAUAAACAAUGUAAUCCGUUGGUUUGCAGUAAACUAACACAUCUCAAUGAUCUCAUAUUACAACCACCUUUCAAGAUAAAAAUGUAUAAAUCUGAAAGGAUAACAGUAAUAUGCCAUUUUUUCCCUUUCACUUGCAUGGUUUUCCAAUCACCAAUUUCUCUGCAGCAUUUGACAAUUCUGUUUCAAUCUCCGUCCAGGCCUCUUCUUCGAGUAAUGCUACGUAGCACUGUUGGAUUAGACCAUGAGUUGGUACGCACUGUCACCUAAACCGAUGCUACAUAACAUUAUUUUCUUCAAAACUGUAUUAUGUUGAUCAAGAAAACCGGUCAUAAAUACAAAACGCCAAAACAUUCAAAUCUUGAUAAGUGAUUUG